CGAACGACGUACGUACGUAGGUAGUUGAUAGAGUCGCGACGAGACGACGCGUGGGCGGCGUGACCUAACACAUGCAAGUCGAGCGGAGAUAAGCGGAUGGUAACUGUAAGUUUGUCUUAGCGGGCGGACGGGUGAGUAACACGUGGGCAACCUGCCUUGGAGUGGGGGAUAACGACCGGGAAAUCGGUGCUAAUACCGCAUAACAUACACAUACUGCAUGGUGAGUGUAUCAAAGGAGCCCCCAAUCCGCUUUAAGAUGGGCCCGCGGCUGAUUAGCUAGUUGGUAAGGUAACGGCUUACCAAGGCGACGAUCAGUAGCCGACCUGAGAGGGUGACCGGCCACACUGGAACUGAGACACGGUCCAGACUCCUACGGGAGGCAGCAGUGGGGAAUAUUGCGCAAUGGGGGAAACCCUGACGCAGCAACGCCGCGUGGAGGAAGAAGGUCUUCGGAUUGUAAACUCCUGUCUUCUGGGACGAAGUAUGACGGUACCAGAGGAGGAAGCCACGGCUAACUACGUG
rnacentral:rRNA from 1 species